rnacentral:rRNA from 1 species
AUUGAACGCUGGCGGCAUGCCUUACACAUGCAAGUCGAACGGCAGCACGGGGCAACCUGGUGGCGAGUGGCGAACGGGUGAGUAAUGCAUCGGAACGUACCUUUCAGUGGGGGAUAACGUAGCGAAAGUUACGCUAAUACCGCCUAUUCUGUGAGCAGGAAAGAAGGGGAUCGCAAGACCUUGCGCUGACUGCGCGGCCGAUGUCAGAUUAGCCAGUUGGCGAGGUAAAGGCUCACCAAGGCGACGAUCUGGAGCGGGUCUGAGAGGAUGAUCCGCCACACUGGAACUGAGACACGGUCCAGACUCCUACGGGAGGCAGCAGUGGGGAAUUUUGGACAAUGGGGGCAACCCUGAUCCAGCCAUGCCGCGUGAGUGAAGAAGGCCUUCGGGUUGUAAAGCUCUUUCGGCCGGGAAGAAAUCGCACGGGCUAAUACCCUGUGUGGAUGACGGUACCGGAAUAAGAAGCACCGGCUAACUACGUGCCAGCCGCCGCGGUAACAC